rnacentral:rRNA from 1 species
AAUAGAUACCCUGGUAGUCCACGCCCUAAACGAUGUGCACUAGAUCCUGGAGGUGCUGACACCCUCAGGGUCGAAGCAAAAGUGUUAAGUGCACCGCCUGGGGAGUACGGUCGCAAGGCUAAAACUCAAAGGAAUUGACGGGGGCUCACACAAGCGGUGGAGCAUGUGGCUUAAUUCGAGGCAACGCGAAGAACCUUAUCCUGGGCUUGACAUGCACGGAUUAACUUCCUGAAAGGGAAGCCACGCUCUUUGAGUGGAACGUGCACAGGUGCUGCAUGGCUGUCGUCAGCUCGUGCUGUGAAGUGUCGGGUUAAGUCCCUUAACGAGCGAAACCCCUGCCGUUAGUUGCUAACAGGUAACGCUGAGGACUCUAGCGGGACUGCCGGUGUCAAACCGGAGGAAGGUGGGGAUGACGUCAAGUCCUCAUGGCCUUUAUGCCCAGGGCUGCACACGUGCUACAAUGGCGACCACAGAGCGAUGCAAUGCCGUAAGGUGGAGCAAAUCGCAAAAAAGUCGCCCCGU